GCAGCUCAUACAAUAAUAAAUAUGUAUAAUCAAUGAAAUCAGAAAGAUAGGAUUAUGACCCCUUCAUCAUAUCAAGAUUUGGUCGUGAAACUAAUGCAUAUGUACCACGUCAGGGCAUGGACAGCAUGGACAAAAUUGGGUCUAGCAAGUCCAGCUGAGUCUAUGCUACUUCUAUUUUUAAAACCUGGAGAAACUCCGUCAUCACCAAAAUAGAGGGUACCUGAAAACCUUUGUACUUGAUGAGCUCUUUGAUCCUGUCAACGACAUAAAGCAAUCCAUCCUCAGUAAAGUACCCAAGAUCUCCUGUAUGAACCCAGCCCUGAUUAUCUAUAGUGAGCAUUGUGGCCUGUGGAUUGUUGAAAUAGCCUUUCAUCAUAUUGGGACCACGGACCCAUAUUUCACCUAAUUGCCCAGGAGGAAGAGGCUUCGAUUUAUCAACACUAACUAUUUGAGCUUCAAUUCCAGGAGCUAAAGACCCUGCUGAUCCUGUAUGUCUAGGACCUACACACAUAUUCUCCACUGAAACAAUUCCACAGGUUUCUGUCAUACCGUAUCCCUGCAUAACAACAGCCUGAGGGAAGUUCUUAGCGCAAUCCUCCAUCAAAUCCUUCCCUAAAGGCGCAGCCCCGGAUCCAAUUUGCUUUAUCGACGUUAAAUCAUACUUCUUCACCACAGGAUUCUUAGCCAAUGCUAAAACAAUCGGAGGUACAAUCCAUAAAUGACUCACUCUAUACUUAUCAAUAUUCUUCAAAAGCGUUUCCAAAUCAAAUUUCGCCAUAGAUACAAUAGCAUUACCCCUUUGCAACUGUGAGUACAUGAUAACAGCAAGACCAAACACAUGAAACAUAGGCAAAACACACAUAUACACAUUAUGCAUUUCCCCAGCCAAAUCUUGAUCACUAGAUACCAUUAAAGCCGCCGAUAUGAAAUUCCUAUGAGUUAACACAACACCUUUACUAACCCCCGUUGUACCCGAAGAAUACAACAGUACAGCAGUAUCAGUUUGUUUCACCACAGUUUUAUCCAAAUCAAAACACCCAGCUUUAUCCACUAGCUCAGUAAACCUUACAACACCUGCAUUAUUCGAAUUCGAAUUUCCCAAAAGCAAAAUAGGCAAAUUAAAACUAUUAACUUUAUCAAACAAUUCAGGAGAAGUAAUAAUAAGGCUUGGUUUACAAUCUUUAAUUUGCUUAGAAAGUUCAGCAACAGUAUACAUAGGAUUAACAGUUGUAGCAAUAGCACCAAUAGCAAUAACCCCAAAGAAACUUAAAGGAAAUUGAACAGAAUUUGGGGCAAAUAUCAAAACAACGUCAUUUUUCUUGAUACCCAUUUGGUGAAUAAGUCCAUGAGAGAUUCUUGACACCAUAGAUUUGAACUGAGAAAAAGAUAAAGUUCCACCAUUAUCAGCAUCAAAAAACGCAGGUUUUUCAGGGUAAGAUGAAAUCUUUCUGAAUAAAAAAGAAACCAUAGAUAAAUUUUCAUCUUUUGGAUAAAAUACAGGUGGUCUAAGAGAUCUGUAUACCCCAUCACGGCCAUAACCAGAUUUCUCCAUAACAAUCAAAAAUCAAAUUUUUUUUUUUGCUUUGCAAAAAUU
rnacentral:misc_RNA from 1 species